rnacentral:rRNA from 1 species
CGGGGGGCUGCAUCAGUGAGGAAUAUUGCACAAUGGGGGGAACCCUGAUGCAGCAACGCCGCGUGGAGGAUGACGCAUUUCGGUGUGUAAACUCCUUUUAUAUGUCAAGAAAAUGACGGUAGCAUAUGAAUAAGCACCGGCUAACUCCGUGCCAGCAGCCGCGGUAAUACGGAGGGUACAAGCGUUACUCGGAAUCACUGGGCGUAAAGGACGCGUAGGCGGGUUGGAAAGUCAGGUGUGAAAUCCUACAGCUUAACUGUAGAACUGCACUUGAAACUUCUAAUCUAGAGUAUGGGAGGGGGAGAUGGAAUUAGUGGUGUAGGGGUAAAAUCCGUAGAUAUCACUAGGAAUACCUAAAGCGAAGGCGAUCUCCUGGAACAUUACUGACGCUAAGGCGUGAAAGCGUGGGGAGCAAACAGGAUUAGAUACCCCAGUAGUC